rnacentral:rRNA from 1 species
UAACACAUGCAAGUCGAGCGCACCCUUCGGGGCGAGCGGCGGACGGGUUAGUAACGCGUGGGAACAUACCCUUUUCUAUGGAAUAGCCUCGGGAAACUGAGAGUAAUACCAUAUACGCCCUUCGGGGGAAAGAUUUAUCGGAGAAGGAUUGGCCCGCGUAAGAUUAGAUAGUUGGUGGGGUAAUGGCCUACCAAGUCUACGAUCUUUAGCUGGUUUUAGAGGAUGAUCAGCAACACUGGGACUGAGACACGGCCCAGACUCCUACGGGAGGCAGCAGUGGGGAAUCUUAGACAAUGGGCGCAAGCCUGAUCUAGCCAUGCCGCGUGUGUGAUGAAGGCCUUAGGGUCGUAAAGCACUUUCGCCAGGGAUGAUAAUGACAGUACCUGGUAAAGAAACCCCGGCUAACUCCGUGCCAGCAGCCGCGGUAAUACGGAGGGGGUUAGCGUUGUUCGGAAUUACUGGGCGUAAAGCGUACGUAGGCGGAUCAGAAAGUAGGGGGUGAAAUCCCGGGGCUCAACCUCGGAACUGCCUCCUAAACUCCUGGUCUUGAGUUCGAGAGAGGUGAGUGGAAUUCCAAGUGUAGAGGUGAAAUUCGUAGAUAUUUGGAGGAACACCAGUGGCGAAGGCGGCUCACUGGCUCGAUACUGACGCUGAGGUACGAAAGUGUGGGGAGCAAACAGGAUUAGAUACCCUGGUAGUCCACACCGUAAACGAUGAAUGCCAGUCGUCGGGCAGUAUACUGUUCGGUGACACACCUAACGGAUUAAGCAUUCCGCCUGGGGGAGUACGGUCGCAAGAUUAAAACUCAAAGGAAUUGACGGGGGCCC